rnacentral:rRNA from 1 species
AUUGAACGCUGGCGGCAUGCUUUACACAUGCAAGUCGAACGGUAACAGGCCGCCAGGUGCUGACGAGUGGCGAACGGGUGAGUAAUGCAUCGGAACGUGCCCAGUCGUUGGGGAUAACUCCUCGAAAGAGUAGCUAAUACCGCAUACGAUCUAUGGAUGAAAGCGGGGGACCGUAAGGCCUCGCGCGAUUGGAUCGGCCGAUGUCAGAUUAGGUAGUUGGUGGGGUAAAGGCUCACCAAGCCAACGAUCUGUAGCUGGUCUGAGAGGACGACCAGCCACACUGGGACUGAGACACGGCCCAGACUCCUACGGGAGGCAGCAGUGGGGAAUUUUGGACAAUGGGCGCAAGCCUGAUCCAGCAAUGCCGCGUGCAGGAAGAAGGCCUUCGGGUUGUAAACUGCUUUUGUACGGAACGAAACGGCUCUGGUUAAUACCCGGGGCUAAUGACGGUACCGUAAGAAUAAGCACCGGCUAACUACGUG